GCCCCCAUAGCUCAGGGGAUAGAGCACCGCUCUCCUAAAGCGGGUGUCGCAGGUUCGAAUCCUGCUGGGGGCGC
rnacentral:tRNA from 1 species